rnacentral:rRNA from 1 species
GUGCUUAACACAUGCAAGUCGAGCGGAAAGGCCCUUUCGGGGGUACUCGAGCGGCGAACGGGUGAGUAACACGUGAGUAAUCUGCCUCUGGCUUCGGGAUAGCCACCGGAAACGGUGAUUAAUACCGGAUACGACACAUCACUGCAUGGUGCGUGUGUGGAAAGUUUUUUCGGCCAGGGAUGUGCUCGCGGCCUAUCAGCUUGUUGGUGGGGUAAUGGCCUACCAAGGCUUCGACGGGUAGCCGGCCUGAGAGGGUGACCGGCCACACUGGGACUGAGACACGGCCCAGACUCCUACGGGAGGCAGCAGUGGGGAAUAUUGGACAAUGGGCGGAAGCCUGAUCCAGCAACGCCGCGUGAGGGAUGACGGCCUUCGGGUUGUAAACCUCUUUCAGCACAGACGAAGCGCAAGUGACGGUAUGUGCAGAAGAAGGACCGGCCAACUACGUGCCAGCAGCCGCGGUAAUACGUAGGGUCCGAGCGUUGUCCGGAAUUAUUGGGCGUAAAGGGCUCGUAGGCGGUUUGUCGCGUCGGGAGUGAAAACACCGGGCUUAACUCGGUGCUUGCUUCCGAUACGGGCAGACUAGAGGUAUUCAGGGGAGAACGGAAUUCCUGGUGUAGCGGUGAAAUGCGCAGAUAUCAGGAGGAACACCGGUGGCGAAGGCGGUUCUCUGGGAAUAUCCUGACGCUGAGGAGCGAAAGUGUGGGGAGCGAACAGGAUUAGAUACCCUGGUAGUCCACACCGUAAACGUUGGGCGCUAGGUGUGGGAUCCAUUCCACGGGUUCCGUGCCGCAGCUAACGCAU